CUUCAGAACUGGGCCAGGGGCACUGCUUUGCUUUUGCUGUUUUGAUCAGCUCUCUGCCUGCAGGAGACAAGGAAAAUCAAUGGGAACAGAUAGGGUCUCUCUCUCUGCCACCCAGGCCAGAGUGCAGUUGACGCAGGGCAGGGGAGACCCGAAGUGGAGCAUAGUGUGUCCGGAACUGGUGGGUUCUUGGUCUCACUGACUUCAAGAAUGAAGCCACGGACCCUCGGGAUAAAGAGCCCAGUGUCUUCUCUCAUUGCUGAAGAGAUUGAAGGGGUAGGAAGAAAAGAUGUUAAGUUGUAAACAUGUUUCAGUUUUGGUACCACUUGAACCAAUUUAUGUUUUGAAAAGGAAAGAGUCUUGCCUACAAAGUCAGCCCCUGGGUUUUCCUUCUGCUUAUGGAAUCCAGGCAAUGGGCAAAGAGGAAAAGAAAACGAAGGAGUCAGCCAGAUGCAGUGGCUCAUGCUUGUAAUCUUGGCACUUUGGGAGGCUGAGGCAGGUGGACUUCUUGAGUCCAGGAGUUCAAGAACAGCCUGGCCCACAUAGUGAGACCCCGUUUCUACAAAAAAUAUGAAAACUUACGGAGCAUGGUGGCAUGCACCUGUAGUCCCAGUUACUUGGGAGGCUGAGGUGAGAGAACUACUUCAGCCCAGGAGGUUGAGGCUGCAGUGAGCCAUGAUUGUGCCUCUAUACUCCAGCCUGGCUGACAGAGUGAGGAUCUGUCUCAAAAGAAAACAAAAAAGAUAAGAAAAAGAAAACUAGGGAAUCUGGACAGAAUAAGUUUAUAUAUACAAUAAAGAACUGAGAUAGAACUGGGUUGACUGAAUAAUUAUUUGAAUUGCUUUUGAGUGAAUUUUUCCUAUUGGAGUCUACCUUUGUUUCUUUGUGUGUGUGUGCGUGUUUUUUUGUUUUUUGUUUUCUUUGGUUUAGUUUUGUCUUUGUGUUUUUUUGAGACUGGGCCUUGUUCUGUUGCCCAGGCUGCUGGAGUGCAGUGGCACGAUCUCAGCUCACUGCAACCUCUGCCUCCUGAGUUCAAGCAAUUCUUCUGCCUCAGCCUCCCCAGUAGCUGGGACUACAGGGCAUGUACCACCAAGCCCAGCUAAGUUUUGUAUUUUUAGUAGAGAUGGGCUUUCACCAUGUUGGCCAGACCUGGUCUUGAACUCCUGGGCUCAAGUGAUCCAUCUGCCUCAGCCCCCCAAAGUGCUGGGAUUACAGGUGUGAGCCCCUGUGCCGAGCUAGCGUCUACCAUUCUUUGAAUUCACUGCAGUGCAAAGACUGGGACAUGUGGAACUCCAGGUGUAUAUGGGUUAUGUAGAGAUGCUAGGGGCUGAUUAAGGAAGGAAAGAUAUGAGAAGCCUGCAGAGCAUGCUUUCCCAGACUGUAUGGGCCCUGGGAAAGGAGAAGUGGACAGAAAGGGAACACUAGGUGCCCUGAAGAGAAGAUUCAUCCAAGUCAUCAGGGAAGUUACUAAUGCAAGGGAAAAAAUGCAGAGACGGGGCCAGACACGCUUAUUCCAAGUCGUUUCUGUCUGCUCAGUCACCUCUAUGCUUAUUUUUCUUCUUUCCUCUAAGUGGUGUCAUGCGUUUUCUUCCCAUUCCUAGUCACUCCUAGUCAACCAACUCCUCUCUUUACCAUCUAUUCAUCAGAACUUGAAACCUCCUCUCCUUCAUGUAUUAGUGAUCAUGUUUCUCCAUAAUACUGCUAGAAAUAAGAAUUGAAACCUGGAGAACCUGCAUUUGAGAACGAGAUCUGCCUCUGCUAGCUAUUUGAGAAUUUAUUUUGUUCCAUUCCUUUUAUUAUUAUCGAAACAGGGUGUCACUCUGUCGCCCAGGCUGGAGAGCAGUGGUUCAAUCUUGGCUCACUGCAGCCUCAACCUCCUGGGCUCAAGCAAUCCUUCCACAUCAGCCUCCUGAGUAGCUGAGACUACAGGUGUGUGCCACCACAGCUCGCUAAUUUUUAAGGUUUUUUUUUGUUCGUUUACUUUUUUUUGUAGAGAUGGGGUCUUGCUAUGUUGUGCAGGCUGGUCUCACACUCAUGGGCUCAAGUGAUCCUCCUGCCUUGGCCUCUCAGAUGAAGUGGGAAAAGUUCCAUUGUCCCCCUUGAAGGGCAUGCGAUGCGGGUGUGGUUUGCUUCUUCAGUGUCCCACUGCUCAAACCUCUAGGGGAGCAUGCAGACAGGCAGGGAGCCCCAUGGCAGUGUCCAGGGGUGAAUGUUUAUAGUUGAAGCCCCAGUGGGCGUGUGUUACAGGGUGCUCUUUUAGUUUAGCCGUCUGUAGGUAGCUUGUGUUAGUCGGCUCAAUUAGACCCCUGCCUUACUGCAAGGACAGAGGGCUCUCUUUGUCCCAGGGUUCUUGCCUUGGUGUACCGGAAGUGGUGCGAUCUCAGCUCACUGCAAGCUCCGACUCCUGGGUUCACGCCAUUCUCAUGCCUCAGCCUCCCGAGUAGCUGGGACGACAGGCUCCCGCCACCACCCCCGGCUAAUUUUUUUGUAUUUUUAGUAGAGAUGGGGUUUCAUUGUGUUAGCCAGGAUGGUCUGGAUCUCCUGACCUCGUGAUCUGCCCGCCUCGGCCUCCGAAAGGGCUGGGAUUACAGGCUUGAGAGUGUAAGGUUUUAUCGAGUGGAAGUAUCUCUCAGCAGAUGGGGGAGCCAGAAGGGAGAUGGUUUACCGCUGGAGUCGGGUGAGUGGCCUGACCCUUCUCCGACUGUCCCAGCCAAACUCUGGGUUGUUCUGCCAGUCAGUGGCCUGCGGUGUGCCGGUGCCCAUUGGUGCGUUCCUCUUGACGUCCAGUACCCUGUGUUCCUCCGCUGAUGUGCUCCUCUCGAAGUCCAGCUGCCUGUGUGUCUGCCUGCUAGGGUCUCAGGGUUUUUAUAGGCACAGAAUGGGGGUGUGGCAGCCAGGGUGGUCUUGGGAAAUGCAACAUUUGGGCAGGAAAACAAAAAUGCCUGUCCUCACCUAGGUCCGUGGGCACAGGCCCUGGGGUGGAGCCCUACCCAGGGACCACACCCUCCUCUACCCAGUACUUCCCUUCCUCACUUCCAUAUCAUUUAAAGGGACCACAUUCUUCCCUUCUGAGCCCUUCCCUUCUGUAUCACAAAGUGCUGGGAUUAUAGGCAUGAGCCACUGGUCCCAGCCAAUUCGGUUCUUUUAAUGCAAACUAGAAAAUAGGUGUCCAGAAAGGCCUGCCCUAUCCACCUCAGGGAGUUGCUAUGAAGAUCAAAUUAGAUCAUAUGCAACAGAAGUUUAGAAAAGAUUCCAAAAGCACUGUGCAAUGGGAAUGUAUUUUUAAACUCCACUGAGUGGACUUAAAACUAUGUUUUUUCUUUCUUUCUUUCUUUUUUUCUUUGAGACAGAGUUUCACUCUUGUUGCCUAGGCUGGAGUGCAAUGAUGCCAUCUUGGCUUACUGCAACCUCUGCCUCCCAGGUUCAAGUGAUUCUCUGCCUCAGCCACCCGAGUAGCUGGGAUUGCAGGCGCUCAACACCAUGCCUGGCUAAUUUCUUUUUCUUUUGUUUUUGUCUUUUUAGUAGAGAUGGGGUUUCACAGUGUUGGCCAGGCUGGUCUCGAACUCGUGACCUUAGGUGAUCCACCCACCUUCGCCUCCCAGAGUACUGGGAUUAAGGCUUGAGCCACCGCACCCAACCUGUGUUUCUUUUUUAAGGAAGAAAACAAAUGCCUCUCCCCAGAGCUCACUAAACAAAUCCCUCUGUUUUUUUUUUUUUUUUUCCAUAGGAUUCUUAUCCUUCUUGCCCUACUGCAAACAAUCUAUUUUCUUUUGGCCCUUCCGUCCAUCUGUGAAAGGGUCAGGCUUUCUAGCUAACCCUUAAACAAAUAUUUUUGAUGAUCACAGUCAAGACAGUACUUAUUAUUUUUUUUCAGACGGAGUUUCACUCUUGUUGCCCAGGCUGGAGUGCAAUGGCGCAAUCUCGGCUCACUGCAACCUCUGCCUCCAGGGUUCAAGUGAUUCUCUUGCCUCAGCCUCCCAAGUAGCUGGGAUUACAGGUGCGCAACACCACGCCCAGCUAAUUUUUGUAUUUUUAGUAGAGAUGGGGUUUCUCCAUGUUGGUCAGGCUGGUCUCGAACUCCUGACCUCAGGUGAUCUACCCACCUCAGCCUCCCAAAGUGCUGGGAUUACAGGGGUGAGCCACCCUGACUGGCCAAGACAGUGCUUAUUAAUGCCUGAGAUGCAUUCAGGAGCACAUGACCUGGCUGUGACUCUUCUAACAAAGUUCCCCAAAUGGGUGGCUCAGGACAACCGAAAGCCAUUCUCUCCAGUUCCAGAAGCUUGAUGUCUGAAACGGGCAGGGCAGUGCUCCCUCUGAAGGCUCUAGGGAUGAAUCCUUCCUUGCCUCUUCUGGCUUCUGGUGGUCGCUGGCAUUCCUUGGCUUGUGGCCACAUCACUGCAUUCUCCUCCUUCAUUCUCAUGUGGCCUUCUCCCCUGUGUGUCUCUGUCUCUUCUUCUCUUCCCAUGAGGAUGCCAUUAUUACUCGAUUUAAGGUCCAUGCUAUUCCAAUAUGACCUCUUUGUAAUUAGAUCUGCAGAGACCCUAUUUUCUUUCCUUUUUUUUGCGAUGGAGUCUUGCUGUGUUGCCCAGGCUGGAGUUCAGUGACACAAUCUCAGCUCGCUGCAACUCUGCCUCUGGGUUCAAGUGAUUCUUCAGCCUCAGCCUCCAAAGUAGCUGGGAUUACAGGUGCAUGCCACCAUGCCUAGCUAAUUUUUGUGUUUUUAGCAGAAACAGCGUUUUGCCAUGCUAGCCAGGCUGGUCUCGAGCUCCUGACCUCAAGUGAUCCUCCUGCCUCAGCCUCCCAAAGUGCUAAGAUUACAAGCAUGAGCCACCAUGCCCUGCCCCUAUUUUCUAAUAAGGUCACAUUCUGGGAUUCCUGGUAAAUGUGAAUUUUUGGAGGACAGUAUUCAGUCUAGCAAAAGGCAGAGCAUCCUCAUUUUCUUCCCUACCUCAGAAAUAAAGAAGUUAUCUUCGACCCCUCUGAGAGAGAGAGGCUUCCUGAUCUUCCAACAAUCAAUUAUCCAAAUAUUAGUCACAGGAGAGCACUAAGGAUUGUGCACAGCACGUGGCCAGCCCGUUCUCAGAGUCUGUCAGUUUUAAGGUGAACGCUAAUCCUGAAUGAGUUUUAAAAUGUAUUUGGCAUAUCCUGGUCAUUGUAAAAUGUUCUCACAUUGUGAUGGCUGGGGCUUCCCUCUCAGGUGUAAUCUGCGAAGUCAGACGUGACACAGCCUGGGUGAGGUGGGCCAAGCUGGGAACUGGGUUAGGAGGGAAGCUGGGGAAUGAUCUCCAAGGUCUCAGAUCCCAAACUGGCUUUAACCUGAUUGACCCAGAGGGAUCUCAUAAAAAAUGCACAUUCCGGGGCCCACCCCAGACCUAAUGAAUCAGAAUUACCUGGGAAGGAGCCUGGGGAGCUCUGUUUUCAGAAGCAGCCCAGCCGAAUCCUAUGGUCAGACAGGGCUAGGAAACCGAGCUCAGUCUAGUACGGUAGUUCCCAAACUCGUCUGUGCUUCAAAAAAUACAGAUGCUGAUGUCCAGGCAUGGUGGCCCAUGCCUAUAAUCCCAGCAGUUUGGGAGGCUGAGGCGGGAGUAUCGCUUGAGCCCAGGAGUUUGAGACCAGCCUGGAGAACACAGGGAGAUACUGUCUCUAUAAAAAAUUUAAAAAUUAGCCAGGUGUGGUGGUGCCCGCCUGUGAUCCCAGCUACCGUGGAGGUUGAAGUGGGAGGGUUUCUUGAGCCCAGGAGUUGGAGGCUGUAAUGAGCUAUGAUUGUGCCACUGCACUCCAGCCUGGGUAACAGAGCGAGGCCCUGUCUCAAAAACAAAACAAAAAACGGAUGCUAUGUCCCAUUCCAGAGGUUGAGGUUUAAUUGUUCUUGGGUGUGGCCUGGGUUUUGCAAGAUUAAAAAAAAAAAUCCCAGGUGACCCUAAAGUGUAGAUGAGUUUGGAAACCACACAUUUAAGGCACACUUGAAUGGGGGAGCAGUGAGGUGGCGCGGGCUAGCAGGCCAGAACCCAGGGGUGGGGCAGUAGGAACCAGCAUUGCAGAGGCCAUUAAGGCUGGGAAGCAUAGUGUCUGGGGCCCAUAAAAAUGCUUCGGCAUGAAUGCUUUAGACCUAAGACAAUUGGCUCCUAAAUGUGCAAACUGCAAGGCUGAAAUGAAUGCAUGUUUAAUGCUUUACAACACUGUCCAGUGAUCAGCUGCAACUCCGUUCUGAGGGCGUGAUGCCUGAGAUAUGCCUGUAAUGGGGUUGAUUUUAAUGAAUUUAAUAUGGUGUGGAGUGGGGCCUUCAAAACUAAACAUGUCAGUUCUAAGUUGGUUGCAGGGGUCUGGGCAAAGGUCUUAAAACCCCAUGGUGAGCAGAUGGCCAAUCCUGAACACCCCGAUUUUAAAACAGGGCCUUUUUUCCAAGAGACUUUUUAAAAAUAGCUCCUAUUUUGAGGGGAGGAACCCUGGCAGCAGAGAGCCAGAGUUAAGCCCAGCUGAGAGGGCGUUGGCAGGCAGUGGCCUGCCUGGUCCUCUCAGAAGCUUGGUACUCAGGGUGAGCUUCCUAAACCAAUGCAGAUUUGCCGGCCCACUGAGCCUCGCAGAUGAGAACCUGCAUUUCAACAAGGUCCUCGGUGCAGCAAAGUUUGAGAUAUACUGGGCUAGAACACCCAGGGGACACAAAGGUUCUCUGAAAACUAAGGAAAAUAGGCAGGGUGUGGUGGCUCAUGCCUGUAAUCCUUGUAUUUUGGGAUGCCAAGGCGGGCGGAUCACCUAAGGUCAGGAGUUUGAGACCAGCCUGGAUCAACACGGUGAAACACCAUCUCUACGAAAAAUACAAAAAUUAGCUGGGUGCGGCCGGGCACAGUGGCUCAUGCCUGUAAUCCCAGCACUUUGGGAGGCUGAGGCGGGCAGAUCACGAGGUCAGGAGAUCGAGACCAUCCUGGCUAACACGGUGAAACCCCGUCUCUACUAAAAAUACAAAAAAAUUAGCCGGGCGUGGUGGCAGGUGCCUGUAGUCCCAACUACUCGGGAGGCUGAGGGAGGAGAAUGGCAUGAACCUGGGAGGUGGUGCUUGCAGUGAGCCGAGAUUGCAACACUGCACUCCAGCCUGGGCAACAGAGCCAGACUCUGUCUCAAAAAAAAAAAAAAAAAAAAAAAUUAUCUGGGUGAAGUGGCAGUCACCUCUAGUCCCAGCUACUUGGGGGGCUGAGACAGGAGAAUAGAUUGAACCUGGGAGGCGGAAGUUGCAGUGGCCCGAGAUCGCACCACUGCACUCCAGUCUGGUGGCAGAGUGAGACUCCAUCUAAAAAAAUAAAAAAUAAAUAAAUAAAUAAUAAAUAAAUAAAUAACAUAAAUACUGGGCUAGAAGACCCAGGAGACCCGAAGAUUCUCUCAAAACUAAGGAAAAUAAUCUAGGUCACAAAUAUAUUCUCUUCCUCCUUCUCCCCAUUGCCCCCCUCCACCAGUAAUCUUUAUAGACUCAAAUCGAGUUGAUGUUCUAUAAUCAAUUCCAGUCACUUUUAUUGAUAUUUAUUCAUUUUAGAGAUGGGGGUCUCACUAUGUUGCUCAGGCUGGUCUCAAACUCCUGGGCUCAAGUGAUCCACCCACCUCGGUCUCCCAAAGUGCUGGGAUUACAGGUAUCAGCCACUGCACCUGGCCGUCACUUUUAUUUUUGAUGUUCAAAUUAUAAUCUAAUGCCUGUGAGACCAUAGAUUCUUUUUAUGCACUCAGUACAUUUUCGUGUUUACGUUACAUUUGUAUUAUGGAAAAAUUCUGUUUUUUCCACUUGUUUCUAUUUGAUAAUGAAGCCCUCUGUGCCUAUCACCAGCCUCAGCCGCCAUCAUCUCAUUACCAAGCUGGGUUAUUUUGAAGCAAAUAUCUUCUAAUAUUUAGCCGGUGUUCAAAUUUCCCUAACCAUCCUAAAUGAGUGUUUAGAAUAGUUGUUUCAUUGGAAACAAGGUCAAAACAAAUACAUUUUACAUUUUUAGGCCAGUCUUGAAAGUAAGUGUAAAACCAUGUGUGGGGUAGGAGGUGGGACUAGCCUCUCAAGGUGGGGCCUGGAUACCAGAACCAAUUGAGGACUAGCUAAGACAGAUUCCACAAUGAAUAACACCAGGAGGUGGGAAUAUUAAGGUCCAUUGUGAAGGAUGGCUACCACAAUUUUUUGAUCAAUUAGUUAUCAAACCUGAUUGCAGCUGAGAGAGAUUUGUUUUUGCCUUUUUUUUUUUUUUUCAGAGACAGGGUCUUUCUAUGUUGCCCAGGCUGGACUCAAACUCCUGGGCUCAAGUGAUUCUUCUGCCUCAGCCUCCUGAGUAGCUGAGACUACAGGUGUGUGCCACUGUGCCCAGCAAUAUUUUAAAAAAUACGUAUACCCGGACACCAUUCUAAACCAACUAAAUCAGAAUCAGAUAUAGUGAAGUCAUUAAUCAUUUUGCUCCUGGGUCUUUAUGAUAGUUUUGCUUCUGGGAAACUCCUGGGAAUGUGGUAGAGAGAGAGAAAGAGAUGGGAAAAUAAGAUUUUAAGAAGUGUUGCUAUGCAUUUUGAAAAUAAUAUUUCUUUGGUGUUCGUCUUGAGGGACGGCGGUAAACAUUUCGAUUGCCUUUAAGUAUGCUUGAGUGCUGGAAUGAUGGUUCUUUGAAUGUAGCAUCGAACUGGCAUUGGGUCACAUGGCAGCGAGCAUGAGGCUUUAUGCCACAUUUAUAAAACAUGAAUGUCUUGAGCCCACUCUCAGGGACCUUAUAAUUUGGAGGGUUAGGUCAGAUCCACAAAUCUCUUCUAUCUCCUGGUAAAGGAAACCUGGCGUGUAGCAGGAGAUGGCGUGAUAACCAUAACAUAUUGCAUGAUCAAUAUUUGUAUCCUUCUUAGCAAUAUUAAACUUUUUGACCCCCUCCAUUGUGUCAUCAAUUUGCUUAAUACAGUUUCUGCCUUGGCGUCGGUUUUUAGGCCUGGCAUAAGCUGUUUGAAACACAGGCACGUACCCCACCCAUCAUCUUUGGCCUAGUUAAUACCUCCCAUCCCUGCGUGGUGGUUUGGAGAACCUGCUUGUUCCUCAUCCCACUGAUCCCAAACCCAGGACACCCCACAGCUGCUGACCAGGAUUAAACCUAACGGAGAUCUAAUGCCGUUAAAUCAGAAGAAAUUCUGAUUCUCAGGGACUGACAUUCAUUCACUUAAAUACUUGCAGAGUCGGCCAGGUGUGGUGGCUCACACCUGUAAUCCCAGCACUUUGGGAAGCCGAGGUGGGUGGAUCACGAGGUGAAGAGUUCGAGACCAGCCUGGCCAACAUGGUGAAACCCCGUCUCUACUAAAAAUACGAAAAUUAACUGGUGUAGCUUUGCGUGCCUUUAAUCCCAGCUACUCAGGAGGCUGAGGCAGGGGAUUUGCUUGAACCUGGGAGGUGGAGGUUGCGGUGAGCCAAGAUUAUGGCAUUGCACUCCAGCCUGGGCAGCAGAGCGAGACUCUCUCUCAAUAAACAAAAAACCCAAAAACUUGCAGAGUGAAUUUAGGAAACCAUGAAGUCCACAGUUUGAUCUAAUGCCUUCCUUUUUCUCUUUCUCAAAUAUUUUGAGCCAGGUACCAUCCUAGAUUGUCUUGUGAUAUUUACAAUCUAGGAGAAGGCGGGAGAGAGAACUAAGAACAGAGAGCAUGUUCUGAGAUGUCUGCUGUGUUUGCAGGUACCUUCCCUCAAUUUCCCUACUCACUGGCCAUGCUGGAAAGCAGGUCUUUGUGCCAUAUUUGUACCAUGGUACUUCCCCUCCCUAUAGUCAAUUGGUUGGCCAGAAGCCCAAUUGUCAUUCUCUCUCUUUCUCUCUCCCUCUCCCUCCCUCUCUCCCUCCCUCCCUCUCCAAGAUUUCCAGUAACUGACUGAUCAGCUGGCCGUGGUGGGCUCUGCUGGCUGCCAUGAUGGGCCACCAGUAAAAAGGGAAAAUUGGUUGUGAGUGAGAAGAAGAGAUAAGAAAGUCCACAGGGCUGAUAAGAAAGACCAUGGGCUUCCGGGCACGAUGGUUCACGCCUGUAAUCCCAGCACUUUGGGAGGCCAGGAUGGUCGGAUCACGAGGUCAGGAGAUCGAGACCAUCCUGGCUCACACGGUGAAACCCCAUCUCUACUAAAAAUAUAAAAAUUAGCUGGGUGUGGUGGUGGGUGCCUGUAGCCCGAGCUAAUUGGGAGGCUGAGGCGGGAGAAUGGCGUGAACCCCAGGAGGUGGAGCUUGCAGUGAACUGAGAUCGCACCACUGCACUCCAGCCUGGGCGACAGAGCGAGACUGCAUCUCAAAAAAAAAAAAAAAAAAAAAAAAAAAAAAAACACGAAAAAAAAGAGACCAUGGGCUUCUGAGAGCAAGAAAGAGGAAUUUUGGAUUCUGUAACGGCAGUUUCCAUUCUCUCAUGGCCUCUCAUUUGUUUCUUGUGCCCAUGAGUUUGCCUGUUAGAGAUAAGGUGUGUUCCUUGUCUUCAAGCUCAUGCAAAUGGGUUUCUGUUUCUUACAAUCAUUGUUCCCAGAUAUGGAUGGUGACUGAUGCUCUACUAAAUGCUGAAAAAAAGCAGAGUGGAAACACAGAAAAGCGGGCUUCUCUGAGGAGGUGACGUUAGAGCCCAGUUGGAAGGCAGAAGUAAAUGUGCACCAUGAUAUUUUAGGAUUAAAACCAAGUAUCUCACGGCUUGGGCACAUGUAGAUAGAGGUGAUUUAACAGUAAAGUGUCCCAGUUGUACUCAUUGUCAGUUACCUCACCAAAGAGAUUAUGUAGCCCUGAGUUUGCUUAGUGCUUAUUUAUUUUAGGUUGUUGUUUAUCCAAACCUCUUAAAUGAUAUGUGUUUGGAACAAGUAACAGCAUCGUUCAUUGAUGUUCUGGACAAACCACUAUAUUAUUACUCAAGACUGGGUAAUUUAUAAAGAAAAAAAGGUUUAAUGGGCUCACAGUUCUAUGUGGCUGAAGAAGUCCCGAAAUCAUGGUGGAAGGCAAAAGGAAUGUCUUACAUGGUGGCAGACAAGAGUGAUGAGAGCCAUUCUGGUCAUUGUUUUCUGGCCAUAGAAUUUACUUCUAUAUUUUGAACUAAGAUGAGAGCCAGGCACACAAGACGGUUACAGGUCUGUCUUUUGUUUUUGAUGAUGAUGAUGAUGAUGAGGAUGAUGAUGAUGAUGAUGAUGAUGAAAUUGCUGACAUAGUUGAUGACUUGCUUUUUCUCAUCAUCUCAGACCUAGAUUUUUGGCUGGACUAUUGGCUUGGGAUAGAUGAAAAUCAUUCCUUGUAUCCCCUUAUCUUAAAGUCAAGACUGAACCAGCCUCCAGACUCAAGCAUUCAUGGGAGUUCAGAUACCAUGAGGAAUGGGUGUCCCUGAAAUAUUGUCAUGGCUGUCAAAAUUGUUAUUGGAGCUGGGCAAGUGGGCGCUCUCCUGUCAUUCAAUCCUGCUUAGAUUUCCCAUUCAACACUAAUCUUAUUUCCUUUUUUUUUUUUUUUUUUUUUUUUUUUUUUUUUUGACAGAGUCUCGCUCUGUCUUCUAGGCUGGAGUGCAGUGGUGGGAUCUCGGCUCACUACAGUCUCCACCUCCCAGGUUUAAUUGAUUCUUGUGCCUCAGCCUGCCAUGUAGGUGGGAUUGCAGGUGCACAACAUCAAGCCUGGCUCUUUUUUUUUUUUGGACUUUUAGUAGAGACAGGGUUUCGCCAUGUUGGCCAGGCUGGUCUUGAACUCCUGACCUCAAUUGAUCCACCUACCUGGGCCUCCCAAAGUGCUGGGAUUACAGGUGUGAGUCACCGUACCUGGCCCCAUUUCCUCUUAUACCAUAAGUCAUUGCCUGCAGAUGUGUUUUCUCCAUUAGUUUGCAAAAGCUUCCUGAGAGUAGGUCUGUGCCUCGUUUAUUCUAGAAUCUCCCUGGCACAAAGCACAGGGCUUUAUCUUCAGUCGGCAUCCAACAAAUGUUUAAUUUCAUUCAACAGCUCCUCUUACCACUGCCCCCACCUUAUUUGCAGGUGAUUAAGUACAAUCAGAACAAGUAGGUAUCAUAAGAUUUAGUCCAGAGUCAAUUUGAGAAGAAAUUACUUCAGUGAUGUGAAAAGAAUCCAUGCUAUUUAGUCAGAAUACUUCUGAGAGUAUCCCCUGUCCAAGCAUUUGCUGAAUUUCUAUGUACUAAUUUUCAGGCGGAACAGUAUGGUUGCAGAGAGUCCAUUUGGACAUAGAUACACUUUCAUGCAUUCAUGUCUUUAACAAUAAUUUGUGGCCCUACUGUGUUUGUUCACUAACUCCUUUGAACCUAUCACAUAAGCUAUAUCUGUAUUUUCCUUGUAAUUUGGGAGGUCCAAUGUUUCAUUAAGCUCACAUGCCUGAAACUAAUAAAGAAAAAAGCUCGUUAACCAGCUAGUAUAAAAGUAGCCACCAAAUCAAGUCAAUCACCUGCCUUAAAUCAGCCCAGUACUCCCAUCUCGAGCGGAGAAGCCCAUUCUGAAUCACAGUCAAGACAUUGACGGAAAAACAGCUCCCUCUGGGGAUCAAAACCACGCUCACUCCAAAUCCUCCUCCCCAGAUUUCUACUCAUUGCUCACCCACUGAACCCAGAACAAACCAGAAGUGCUUGAAAUGAGGACGGGUAGCUCCGUGUACCAAUCGGAAUUUAAAACUCUAUCAAUUCCUGCUAUAGAAAUGAGGUUUCUCCCCAGGACCAGCAUUCCACGAAGGCAGCCCUUUUCUAGAUGGAGAAAACAGAACCUGAAGACACCCGUUUCCCUAAACUGCUCUCGCUCAUGUGUAAGUACAAAUGAAAAAUGCUGAGGCUGCUUCUGUUGGCAUUGCUUUUUAAUUACUGCCAUCGAUAAAUCAUUUUAUCCUUGAACAAGACUUGAGAAUGACCCGAAGGCAGAGGCACAAUUCCUUAGGAAUUAAGCCAACAGAGAAUGGGCUAUCUCUCUUCCCACCCUUUCUCUUACUCUGCUGUCAGAAACAGAAACGUUCUCUGUGAGUAGCUGGGAGUAGACGGCCACACUUGCGUUCCAUCUGGGGGUUCUGUUAACACAGUUUUACCCCAGCCUGCCUUGAUGGCCACUGCCACACAAGCUGCAUCUGUUCUUUCUUCUGCGCCUUUUGUUACUUCGUUGUUUUUCCUCUUUCUAGUGUAGUGAGCUGAAUGGUGGCUUUGCACAAGAUAUAUCCAGAUCCUUGUGCCUAGAAUCUGUGGAGGUGGCAUUAUUUGGAAAAAGGGUCUUUGCAGAUGUAAUUAAGUUAAGGAUCUUGAGAUUCUCCUGGAGUAAUUUAGGUAGGCUGUACAUCUAAAGACAAGUGUCCUUAUAAGAGGACACUUUUGUCCAGGCGCAGUGGCUCAUGCCUGUAAUCCCAGCACUUUGGGAGGCCGAGGCGGGUGGAUCACCUCAGGUCAGGAGUUUGAGACCAGCCUGACCAACAUGGAGAAUUCCCAUCUCUACUAAAAAUACAAAAUUCGCCGGGCAUGGUGGCGCAUGCCUGCAAUCCCAGCUACUGGGGAGGCUGAGGCAAGAGAGUUGCUUGAACCCAGGAGGAGGAGGUGGCAAUGAGCUGAGAUCAUGACAUUACACUCCAGCCUGGGCAACAGAGUGAAACUCCAACUCAAAAAAAAAAAAAAAAAAGGACACUGUUUUUCAUGCUUGUCCGUGUGAAGAGACCACAAAACAGGCUUUUUGUGAGCAAUAAAGCUGUUUAUUUCACCUGGGUGCAGGUGGGCUGAGUCCAAAAAGAGAUUCAGCGAAGGGAGAUAGAGGUGGGGCCAUUUUUUAGGAUUUGAGUAGGUAAAGGAAAAAGGGGGGUUCUCUGGCAGGUAGGAGUGGGGGUCAUAAGGUACUCAGUAGGGGAGCUUUUGAGCCAGGAUGAGCAAGGAGAAGGAAUUUCACAAGAUAAUGCCAUCAGUUAAGGCAGGAACAGGACAUUUUCAUUUAUUUUGUGGUGGAAUGUCAUCAAUUAAGGCAGGAACUGGCCAUCUGGAUGUGUACAUGCAGGUCACAGGGGAUAUGAUGGCUUAGCUUGGGCUCAGAGGCCUGACGUUCCUGUCUUCUUAUAUUAAUAAGAAAAAUAAAAUGAACUAGUGGUAAAGUAUUGGGAUGGUAAAAAUUUUUUGGGGGUGGUAUGAAGAGAUAAUGGGCGAUGUUUCUCAGGGCUGCUUCGAGCGGGAUUGGGGUGGCAUGGGAACCUAGAGUAGGAGAGAUUAAGCUGAAAGAUUUUGUGGUAAGGGGUGAUAUUGUGGGGUUGUUAGAAGAAACAUUUGUCACUUAGAAUUAUUGGUGAUGGCCUGGAUACAGUUUUCUAUGAAUUGAAAAACUAAACGGAAUAAGAGAAGGAGAAAAACAGGUAUUAAAGGACUAAGAAUUGGGAGGACCUAGGACAUCUAAUUAGAGAGUGCCUAAGGAGGUUCAGCAUAGCCUUGCCAGCAAAGAUUAUUUAAGAGUUAAGAGUGGUGGUUUGGGGAUAGCACCAGGAGAUAUCAGCUGUGAUGCCUUGGAGAAACAGUGUAAACCACCAGUGUAAACAAGAGCAGGGCAUAUAUGAGUACUUGAGAACGGUGAAUCGCAGUAUGACUAGAUAGAAGAUAGUAGGGAUGACAAGUUUUUUGGGGCACAGUCCAAGUUGGUCUUGUGUGUGGAAUGAGACUGGGGCCUAAUAAAAAGGAGGGUCUAUACAGGAGAUCCAAUAGGUAUCGGGGGAACUGCCCCGAUAAUCACGUAGGUUCUUUUCUAUUUUCCUAAGCGUCGACUGCCUUGAGAAAUAAAAGGACAGAGUACAAAAGAGAGAAAUUUUAAAGCUGGGCGUCCGGGGGAGACAUCACACAUUGGUAGGAUCCGUGAUGCCCCACAAGCCACAAAAACCAGCAAGAUUUUAUUAGGGAGUUUCCAAAGGGGAGGGAGUAUACGAAUAGGUGUGGGUGACAGACAUCAAGUACUUAACAAGGUAAUAGCACAUCACAAGGCAAGUGGAGACAGGGCGAGAUCACAGGACCACAGGACCGAAGUGAAAUUAAAAUUGCUAAUGAAGUUUUGGCACCAUUGUCAUUGAUAACAUCUUAUAAGGAGACAGGGUUUUGAGAUCAACCGGUCUGACCAAAGUUUAUUAGGCGGGAAUUUCCUCUUCCUAAUAAGCCUAGGAGCGCUAUGGGAGACUGGAGUUUAUUUCACCUCUGCAAUCUCGACCAUAAGAGACAGGUACGCCCCGGGGGGGCCAGUUCAGAGACCUACCCCUAGGUGCGCAUUCUCUUUCUCUGGGACGUUCCAUGCUGAGAAAAGGAAUUCAGCGAUAUUUCUCCCAUUUGCUUUUGAAAGAAGAGAAAUAUGGUUCUGUUCUGCCUGGCUCACCGGCGGUCAGAGUUUAAGGUUAUCUCUCUUAUUCCCUGAACAAUUGCUGUUAUCCUGUUCUUUUUUCAGGAUGCCCACAUUUCAUAUUGCUCAAACACACAUGCUGUACAAUUUGUGUAGUUAACGCAACUAUUACAGGGUCCUGAGACGAUAUACAUCCUUCUCGGCCGACAGGAUUAAGAGAUUAAAGCAAAGAUAGGCAUAGGAAAUCACAAGGAUAUUGAUUGGGGAAGUGAUAAGUGUCCAUGAAAUCUAUACAAUUUAUGUUUAGAGAUUGCAGUAAAGACAGGCAUCAGAAAUUACAAAAGUAUUAAUUUGGGGAACUAAUAAAUGUCCAUAACAUCUUUACAAUCCACGUUCUUCUGCCAUGGCUUCAGCCGGUCCCUCCGUUUGGGGUCCCUGACUUCCCGCAACAAAUGGGUUGUACCUUGGAGCAUUCCGAGGACAGGCCUGAAUUCUGAGAAGGGAAAGUGGUAAAAGUAUUGUCCUGUCCUUUUUAAGUUGGUGGCUGAGCUUGGUAAGGUGUGUUUUUAAAAGACCAUUAGUCUGUUCUACCUUUCCUGAAGACUGAGGACUGAAAGGGAUAUAAAGGUUUCACUGAAUACUAAGAGCCUGAACAAAUGCUUGACUGAUUUGAUGAAUAAAGUCCGGUCUGCUAUCGGACUGUAUAGAGGUGGGAAGGCCAAACUGAGGAAUUAUGUCUGACAGAAGGGAAGAAAUGACCGUGGUGGCCUUCUUAGUCCUUGUGGGAAAGGCCUCUACCUAUCCAGUGAAAGUGUCUACCUAGACCAAGAGUUAUUUUAGUUUCCUGACUCAGGGCACAUUGAGUAAAGCUAAUUUGCCAGUCCUGGGUGGGGGCAAAUCCCUGAGCUUGAUGUGCAGGGAAGGGAGGGGGCCUGAAGAAUCCCUGAGGAGUAGUAGAAUAGCAGAUGGAACACUGAGAUGUUAUUUCCUUGAGGAUAGAUUUCCACGAUGGAAAGGAAAUGAGAGGUUCUAAGAGGCGGGCCAGUGGCUUGUACUGUAGCAUAGCCUGCUUUUGCUGGUGUGUGGCAAUUAGGCCUGGUGGAACUGCCGUCAAUAAACUAAGUGUGGUCAGGGUGAGAAACAGGGAAGAAGGAAAUGUGGGGAAAUGGGGUGAAUGUCAGGUGGAUCUGAGAGAUGCAGUCAUGAGGGUCAGGUGUGGUAUCAGGAAUAAUGUGGGAGGCCGGAUUGAAGUCCGGGCCAGGAACAAUGGUAAUUGUGGGAGACUCAACAAAGAGUACAGCAGAAGGAGCCGGGGAGCAGAAUGUAUAUGUGGCAGGUGUGAGGAAAAAAAUACAUUUUGGAAAUUAUGAGAGCUGUAGAGAGUGAGUUGAGCAUAGUUUGUGAUUUUAAGGGCCUUUAAAAGUAUUAGGGUGGCAGCAGCUGCUGCACAGAGACAUAAAAGCCAACCUAAAACAAUAAGGUCAAGUUGUUUGGACAAAAAGGCUACAGGACGCGAUCCUGGUCCUUGUGUAAGAAUUUCAACUGCACAGCGCUGCACUUCGGCUGUGUGUAAUGAAAAGGGUUGGGAUGAGUCACGGAGAGCUAGUGUAGCAGGACGAGCUGCAGACAAAACUCCUCAGACACCGGAUUAAAGAAGGAAGAGGUUUUUUUGUUCGGCCGGGAGCGCCACCAGACUCGUGUCUUAAGAGCCGAGCUCCCUGAAAAAGAAAUUCCUAGCCCUUUUAAGGGCUGACAACUCUAAGGGUUCUACGUGAAAAAGUCAUAAUAGAUCAAGUAAGCGUGAGGAACGUGACUGGGGGCUACAUACAUCAGCUAACAGAACAAAAAGUCUUUACAGUGCUUUCUCAUACAAUGUCUGGGAUUUACAGAUAACACCAGUAGUUUUGGUCAGGGGUUAAUAUUAUUGUCAUUUUAACCACCAGGGCCAGGUGGUGGCGCCAAGGUCGUCUAGCUAUUUAUUUUACUUCUGUUUUUUCCAACUUUUUGCUUUCUCCCUUUUUUGCUGUCUUACAAACUAGGGAAAAGGGGAGGUUGGGGAGAAACUGGGAAGGACAACAGGAGAAGUGGUGGUCUCAUACCAUAUUUCCCCCCUUUGAGCAUUUUCACUUUUUAGUGGGAGUUCUCACUCUCAUCUUUACAUUUUGAGUCUAUUUGUGAGAUAGAGCGAUGGUGAUUUAUAUAACACACGUGUGCUGAAGUUUUCUGAUGAACCAAAGUAGCUACAAAACGUUUUAUCAUUUGAAAAAGCAAGAGUAAUACACAGGGGAGCAGCAAGCAAGUUCCUAUCACUAGCAAUACACCUACAAUGAGGGUUUUAAAUCCUCCUAUAGCUGGAAACCAUUUUUCAAAUAAAGACUCAGGAUUAAACUCGUGCCAAACCUGUACAGGCACAUGUGCCACCUUUGUCAUGUCCCUGACUAUGUUUUUUUACCACCUGUCCUUGAUCAUUUAUUUGUAGGCAGCAAUUGGUUAAGUUAAAUUUUCCACAAACUCCUCCUUCAGCUACUAGCAAGUAGUCUAAGGCCAGUCUAUUCUGAUAGAUAGCAUUCCUCAUUUGUGUUUCUUGCCAAGCUAAAACAGUCAAAGCUCUGCCAGUUUCAUUAGUAAUUAUUUCUAAGAUGGCCUGCAACCGUAUGAUCCAAUUGAGCAUGUAGAUGCGGGUUCGGUAUCCCCAUGAGCCGUCUUGUGCCCAUGUGGCAGGCCCAUAAUACUGAAUGAUCCUUUCAGGGGGCCACUCAUUAUCUUUCCAGUUUCCUAUAACUAUGCCUUUCUUUUCUCGGGAGGCGUAGACAGGGAAACCUAGGAGCUUACCCAUUUUUAUGGGUAAUAAGAAAAAGGAUGGCUUAAUAGUGCCAAUAACACAACUGCCUGCCCAUUUAUUAGGUAACUGAAGGUAGGCUCUGUGCCUACAUAUCUAGUAUAGUCCAGCGGGAACCGUCCAGUCCUGAUGAGAUUCUGGAUGAGCCUAAGCAGUUUUUAAUUUAGAAAAUUGACUAAAUGGAUUCUUUUCAGUGUGGUUUAGGCCCUACUAAGUAAUUGUCUUUGUUUUGCUGUUAUACAACUUCUGUCCUAUACAAUUAAGCUUUCCUACAGGGAUGAUAAAGUCUUUCCGUUCUCUAGCUAUACAGUAUUGUCUAAUAAAUGAGGUUUUUAGGACCUAGAAUUGCUAGCUUCGGCCUUCUAACUGGAAUUAUAUCAGGAGUUGGAUCAGUAGGCACCAACUCUCGGGCUUCCCAAGGCCAUCUGUCUCCGAUAGUGGUUCCUCCGCAUACAUAACAAGAAGUAACAUUAAGUAAGAAAAUUACAUUUUCUGCUAAUUGGAGAAACAAAUUUUUUGUCUUUUUCGGAAGUUCUGGUGCUGGCAGAUUCAGCUCCUCAUAAAAGGUUUGAAAUACUGGUUUGGGAGAGCACUUGUGGACCUCUCCUCUAAUUAAAAUGGCAACUUGAGGGUUUAACCCUGUCCUAUUGAUCCCCAGGGUUACACGUUCUCCCUUUUUCCAACGGGGACCUAGGGGAUUGGUAAUUAUUAGUUCUAGUGUGUUACAGUGACCGGCAGCACAGGAGGGGUUGGCUUCCCCCUUCUGAAGAUAAACCGGGUCCUUUUUGUUCUUUUUUUAAGUAGCCUAAAUAACACAUGGCCAAUAGGCACAGUUUUUACAAACCCCUGACUCAUGACAAACAUAUUUAUUUUCUACUCUUUAGCUCCUUUCUCAGUUAAGAGAACCACAUCCUUUUUCUAGCUUUUUACUAUUAAUGGCUGCACAAGCAUCAAAUCUUAAAGUUAUUUGCUUGGGGAUUUCUUUUUCUUCUGUUCUAGUUAUUAUUUUACUUAUAUCACCUAGGAAAAGGCCAGUUCUUCUUCUUAUUUCAAAAACGGGGGUUGCAGGGGACUCAGAUGGGUUAUAACACACAUCAGGUCGGUCAUUUCUCGGGCUACAUACCUUGCACUGAGUGGCAUUAUACAAACAAGUUUCUUUUAUUGUUUCCAUACAUUCAUAAUAACUAUAGAACAGAAAGAUUGUUUUAAUUUGCUGUCCUACUUCAGUGACCUGUUGAAUACACUGGGAACAGCCCCAGUUUGAGUAAGGUCAGUUGAAGCCCUUACUGUAUAAGUCCAAAAUUUAAGAAAAAUGAAUCUCACGAUGAGCUUCCUCAUGCUUCGGCCGUGCGUGGACCAGUCAGCUUCCGGGUGUGACCGGAGCAGGGCUUGUCGUCUUCUUUAGGGUCACUCUGCAAGGGUUGUCUGGGCUUGGUCUUGCCUCCCAGGUUUCAGGCGCUGCAGGUUUUACAUGGCUGUGGUGGAUCCAGGCUGGAAUUCUUUCUACCUUCACAGCGGUGAGAGUGCUCAGGACGACAGUCUGGGGUCCUUUCCACAGUGGACACAAAGAGACUCUGUUCCAGUUCUUGAUCCACACUCGAUCAUCUGGGGAGAAAGGGUGAACUGGGGAGAGUAAGCUAACAGGGCAUCUCUCAUUUACCUGGGCUGAGAUUGUUUGUGUAAUUUUUCCUAAGGCCUGUAGCUGUCGCUGUAACUCAAUUUCACCUAACUCUCAGGGAGUGCCUGGAAGUCCCCGCAAUAUAGGAGGGGGCCUACGAUAUAAUAUUUCAUAAGGGGAAUAUCCUGUCCUUUUAGAAGUGCUACAUCUAAUUUUAAAUAACACCAUAGGGAGAGCCUGUAUCCAUUUUAAUCCUGUUUCCUGACAUACUUUCCCUAAACUAUUUUUGAUAGUUUAUUCAUUCGCUCCACCUUUCCGGAACUCUGAGGCCAGUAGGCAGCAUGCAGUUUCCAUGUGAUCCCUAAUAUCUUUGCCGCCUUCUGUACUAAGUCAGCCAAAAAUGGCGGCCUGUUAUCUGAGCCGAUCCGUAAGGGCAGUUCAAAUCUAGGAAUAAGAUCUCGAAGAAGCACACGAGUUACUUCACGAGCUUUCUCAGUUCGUGUUGGAUAAGCCUCCACCUACCCAGAGUAGGUACGCCCAAGAAGUAGUAAAUACUUGUUACCUCUACACUUUGACAUCUCUGUGAAGUCCACCUGGAGAUCUUCAAAGGGAGUUGCUCCAUAAGCUUGUAUGCCGGGUGGAACGGCUGGAGCUUGCCUCGCAUUAUGCUGUCGGCAGGUAACACACCACUGCCUCACCGUUUUGGCAAAAGCUUUUCGAGCCCCUAAGUCAGCGCGGGAAUUCCCUAAACCCACCAAGGUGGAAGCUCGCUGGUGUCCUCUGCAUUGCAUAACUGCCACCUUGUGGGGUCUCCAUACGGCUUUUAAUAAUUGCAAGAUUUCUUGUUGAUAUUUUAUGUCUUUUCCCCCAGAGUUCAAUAGGCCCUUUUCUUUAUAUAAUGCUCCACGCACUUGAAGGGUUGAAAAGGCAUAUUGAGAGUCAGUGUAAAUGUUGACAUUCUUAGCUUCACUGAGUUCUAAGGCCCGAAUUAAAGCAAUGAGUUCAGCUUUCUGAGCUGAAGUGCCCUGGGGAAACGAUCUGGCUUCAGCAACAGUGUCCAGAGUUACCACCGCAUAUCUUGCACAUCUCUCUCCUUGUGGGUUGAUGAAGCUGCUCCCAGCCACGUAUAGUUCCUAGUCUACUGAUGCCUAAGGCUGGUCCUGGAGGUUAGGUCUGCUAGAGUAAACUGAGUCCAACACUUCUACACAGUCGUGCUCGACAGGGCUCUCUGAUACUGGGAGCAAGGUAGCGGGGUUCAAGGUGUUACAAACUUCAAUGGUUAUAUGGGGAUUUUCACAGAGCAAACUUUAGUACUUAGUGAGUCUAGCAUUCAUUAGCCAAUGAUGUCCUUUAGUAUUCAUUAAAGUCACCACAGCAUGGGGGGCCUUUAUGUUCAGGUUUUGUUCAAGAGUCAGCUUAUCUCUUCUUGUACUAGCAGGGCAGUUGCUGCCAAGGCCCUUAAACACGGGGGCCAUCCUUUAGAAACCCCGUCUAGUUGUUUAGAGAGGUAGGCCACCGGCCUCAGCCAGGGACCCACAGUUUGGAUUAAAACUCCAACUGCCAUCUUUUCUCUCUCUGACACAUACGAUGGAAAAGGCUUUGUUAGAUCGGGUAGCCCCAGGGCUGGGGCUGAUAUAAAUCUUUCCUUUAUCUCAUGAAAGUGUUCUGUUGCUGGGAUCCCCAUUCAAAGUUUUACCUGUCCCCUCCCCCCCCCCUUUGUGACCUCAUAGAAAGGCUUGGCUAAUACUGCAAAUUUGGGAUCUACAGUCUGCAGAACCCCACAGCCCAUAAGAAUUCUCUCACCUGCCUUCUGGUCUUAGGCUCUGGUAGAUUUCAAAUAACCUACUUACUUUCUGAUCCUAGGCUGGUCUCCCCCUUUCGGAUAGUAAAUCCUAAGUAAUGUACCUGCUGUCAGCAGAUCUAAGCUUUUUUCUUGGACAUCUUAUACCCAUAGUCCUCCAGGUGCCGGAGUAGAGCAUCUGUUCCUUUGGUGCACCCGACUGCCGUGGGGUGUCCCAGCAAAAGGUCGUCAACGUACUGGAGCAACACGCAGUCUAGGUCUCUGGUGGGAAACUUCUGGAGGUCUCGAGGCAAUGCCUCCCCGAAGAUGGUGGGGGAGUUCUUGAACCCUUGGGGAAGCCCGGUCCAAAUGUACUGAGUAGUGACACCUGACUCCGGAUCUUCCCACUGAAAGGCAAACAGCUUCUGGCCGUCAGGGGCUAAUCUGAUACUAAAGAAAGCAUCUUUCAGGUCCAAGCAGGUGAAGCAGCUGUUCUCAGCUGGCAGCAACCCCAGCAAUGUGUACGGGUUAGGUACUGCUGGAUGUAAAGUCACUGUAGCCUGAUUAACCAAGCGCAAAUCCUGUACCGGCCAGUAGUCCUUGGUCUUAGGCUUGGGAACAGGCAGGAGGGGAGUGUUCCAUGGAGACUGACAAGAAACUCUAAUUCCAAAAGUUCUUAGGUGCUUGAGAUGGACCUGGAUACCUUCAAGAGCUUCUCUGGGGACCGGCUCCUGUUUUUGCCUAACCGGCUGGGCCCUAGACUUAACUUCUAUAAGUACGGGGGCUUGGUUGACUGCCAACCCUGGAGGGUUGUCUUCCGGCCACACUCUUGGCCACCGCUUAGCCAGAGCUGGUCUUAUCUCUUGGCCCCGCUCAGUUAAGAAAAGUCUCCAUUCUUCCUCUCGGGGGACCGUAAGGGUCAUAAUGACUCCCAUUCUGGGUAACUUUAGCAGCAAAGAGCCAUGCUCUGUAAGAGAUAGUGGCUCUCAGUUUGCUAAGCAAGUCCCUUCCCAACAAGCGCAAGGGACAGUCAGGAGUGUACAAAAACUGAUGAAUCACUUUAUGUCCUCCUACAGCACAAGUCUGAGACAAGCAGAAAGCUUGCUUUGCUGAAACUCCCAUGGCUCCGAUGAUGUCAAUAAUCUUUUUGGAUAAGGGGGCGACCGGGGAGGUUAUUACCGAAUGUUUAGCACCGGUAUCUACAAGAAAAUCAAUGUCUUUACCCCUAACUGUCAUCCUGACCAUAGGCUCUUUGGGGGUCCUUGAGCCUAGUCCCCCUCAGUCCAAUAACCUUUCUGCCAGGUUGAGCAGGGCCCCUUCAUCCUUGUCCGCGGCCUCCUGCUCUGAGUCACCUGGUUUUCUUUUUAGGUGAGGGCAUUUGUUUUUCCAAUGUCCUAUUUCUUUACAAUAAGGACACUGAUUACACUGCAAGCUCUGACAGCCAGGCUGAGUUUCCUUCCCGGGGCCCCCCUUCCCUUGCCUCUUUGGGGGGACCCCUCUGAUUGUUGCCGCUAACAGGUCGGUGUUUCGCUGGGCCUGACGUUCAUUGUCUCUGUGGUUUUCCUUACGGCUUACUGCAUCCCUGUUUCCAAACAACGGGUUAGCUAUUUCUAACAACUGUGAUGUGUUCAUCCCUGCAAACUCAGCCUGUUUCUGCAGUUUUCUUCUAAUGUCUUCUGCGCUUUGACUAACUAAAGCCAUGUUAAUCAUGCCUUGAUUUUCAGGGCUAUCGGGAUCAAAGGGAGUAUACAUACCAUAGGCAUCACACAGUCUCUCCUACAGUUGUGCUGGACUGUCUUCUUUUCUCUGAAUGACCUCAGAGACUUUGUUAACAUUUGUGGCCUUCUGGGCUCCCGUCUUUAAUCCUUCCAAGAGAGCUUCUCUGUCUCGGUUUAGACUUUGCAUAUCCUCUCUUUCAUGUGGGUCCCACUGGGGGUCGGUUCCUGGUAACUGGGUCCUUAGAUACUCUUGGGGGUUUUGAUAAUCAGCUGGUGCAUGUUCCUCUAGCCACUUAGUUGCUGCUUGGAGCACUCUCUGCCUUUCAUCUGUGUUAAAGAGGAACAUGAGCAACUGGUGGCAAUCAGCCCAGGUGGGGUUAUGGGUCUGGAUAAUAGUUUGGAGCAAAUCAAUCAGAGCUUGUGGCUUUUCGGUACAGGACGGGGUACUGUUUUUCCAGUUGAGAAGGUGGGCAGAGGUGAAGGGCUGGUACCCAAAAACACGCCUCCCCACCACGUGACCAUCCUCAUCUAUCCCAAUAUACCGCUGCUCUCUCAGGGGCAUUUGUGUCCCCGUUUUGGGUCUUAAACGAGCUGCCAAGGGAGGGGUUUCUCCCGAGUCCUCACCUCCUCUCUUGUCUACUCUGGGUGGCCUAGGGAUAUGUUUGUCUUGUGGAGGCGCAAGCACUGUGGACGCAAAAGUGGGGAGCCUGCCUCCCUGGUAAGGAGAGGGCACCACUGGGAUCACUGGUGCCAUCUCCAGCAAUGGAUCUUCUGAUGUUGGGUCGAACAGAACUUCAGGAGUUGAUUUCCCUUGGCGGGUGGAGCGGGAUCCUUCCUUGGCUAUCUGUCACUUUGCUACUAGCACUGCUGCUGCCUGCCGUCUUAGCCACUGUGGGGGGUUUAGCAUCAGCUGUAACCAAGUAUCUAUGUAUGGAAACUGGUCUGAGUGUCCUGACUUACCAGUUACCUUGUGUCAUACCUUAGAAACAAGGGACCUGUCCAGGCUUCCUUCUGAUGGCCACCCUACUUCUAAUGUUGGCCAAUCUGUUUCACAUAAAGUUCUAAGUUCCCCAAAGUCUCCAUUAAAUCCUUUCUUAAAAUUUUUCAACAUAGUUCCUAGCGGAGUAGACAAAACACCAAGCUCACACCACACGCACACCACAGAACAAAGAAUGGGUAAAAAGGGCACACACACAUUUUUCAGUUUUCACCAAACCAGAAUCAAAACCAAAAUCAGAGUAUCCAGAAAUCCAAGCCAGGUGAAACCAAAACCAAAGUAUCAAGCAAUUCAAGUCAAGUCAAAAACAAAAACCAAAGUGCCAGUACAGGCACGCCGUGGGUGAUGAGGCCACGCUUCCACUCAAAUGGAGUGGGCAAGUUCCAAAGACCAGUCUUACCAAGUUUCAAAUGUCCGGACUCCAAGUGCCUCAUCCUUCCCUGUGUUCAGCCACUGUGUUGAUCUUCCAUGGGGGCCUACCACACACUGCUCUGACGAGGCAUUCCUCCGGGGCAAUUGCCUACCCGAGAGAGCUCUCAGGAUCCGCGUCACUCAAGCUGGCCGGAGUCCCCCGCAGGGAUGCUCCACAGGGCAGGCCUAAGCCUCCUAACGGGCUGCCUCGACUUUCCGUCAAUUACCUCGCUUCCCGAUCAGGGAACCAAGACUAGGGUGGGGGCAGUCUUUAAAGCUGUCUUCAAGGAACAGAAAGAGGAGUGGGGAAAGGAUUUAGGAUCUAUGGGGUCAGCUAGGUUUCCUUUUGUGAGUUUAUAUAAUGGUUCUGUUAGGAUGGCAAAACCAGGCAUCUAAAGAUGAAAGUAUCCAACCAUGACCAGGAAGGAAAGGAGUUGUUGUUUUGUAGAAGGGGUUGGGGUUUGAGAGAUUAGUCACACAUGAUUGGCAGGGAGAGCAUGUGUGGUUUUAUGAGAAUUAUGCUGAGAUAGGUAACACAUAAGGAAGAAAUUUGGGCUUGACUGAAGUAAUGGGGGCUGUCUGUGAAGCUUUGCAGCAGUACAGCCCAGGUCAUUUGCUGAGCCUGAUGGGUGUCAGGGUCAGUCCAAGUGAAAGUGAAGAGUGGCUGGGAUGAAGGGUGCAAAGGAAUAGUAAAGAAAGCAUGUUUGAGAUCCAGAAGAGAAUAAGGGGUUGUGGAGGGAGGAAUUGAGGGUAGGAGAGUAUAUGUAUUUGGCACCUUGGGGUGGAUAGGCAAAACAAUUUGGUUGAUACGUCAUAGAUCCUGAACUAACUUGUAAGGCUUGUCUGGUUUUAGGACAGGUAAGAUGGGGGAAUUGUAAGGAGAGUUUAUAGGCUUUAAAAGGCCAUGCUGUAGCAGGUGAGUGAUAACAGGCUUUAAUCCUUUCAAAGCAUGCUGUGGGAUGAGAUAUUGGCAUUGAGCGGGGUAAGGGUGAUUAGGUUUUAAUGAGAUGGUAAGGGGUGCAUGAUAGGUCACCAAGGAGGGAGUAGAGGUAUCUUCUACUUGUGGGUUAAGGUGGGUGGCAAAGAGAUGUAUCUGUAGUCUGGGAAUAGUCAGGGAAGUAGAUAGUUUAGUUGAAGUGUCUCGUCCUAAUAAGGGAACUGGGCAGGUGGGGAUAACUAAAAAGGAGUGCUUAAAAGAGUAUUGUCUAAGUUGGCACCAGAGUUGGGGAGUUUUAAGAGGUUUAGAAGCCUGGCUGUCAAUACCCACAACAGUUAUGGAGACAAGGGAGACAGGCCCUUGAAAAGAAGGUAAUGUGGAGUGGGUAGCCUGUGUAUUGAUUAAGAAGGGGAUGGACUUAUGCUUCACUGUGAGAGUAACCUAGAGCGUCUGUGAUGAUCCUGUAGGCUUCCGAGGCGAUCGAUCAGGCAGUGUCAGUCUGCAGCUGCUAAGCCAAGAAGAUCUGGGAAGGGGUCAGUCAGAGAGCCUUGGGCUGGAGUUCCAGGGGCUCUGGGAGUGGCUGCCAGGUGAGUUGAACAGUGCGAUUUCUAGUGGGGUCCCGUACAGAUGGGACAUGGCUUAGGAGGAAUCCCGGGCUGCAGGCAUUCCUUGGCCUGGUGGCCAGAUUUCUGGCACUUGUAGCAAGCUCCUGGGGUAGGCGGUUCUGGAGGAAUGCCUGGCCACUGCGCUUUAGGCGUUUGGAAGCUCUUGUGUGCUGGAGAUGUGGCUGGGGUUUGUCUCACAGUGCAGGCAAGGAAUUGCAACUGAGAAAUAUGUUGCUACUUGGCUGCCUCUACUCUAUUAUUGUACACCUUGAAGGCGAGGUUAAUUAAGUCCUGUUGUGGGGUUUAAGGGCCGGAAUUUAAUUUUUGGAGUUUUAUUUAAUGUCGGGAGCAGAUUGGGUAAUAAAAUGUAUAUUAAGAAUAAGACGGUCUUUUGACCUUUUAGGGUCUAGGGCUCUAAAGCAUCUCAGGGUUGCUGCCAAACGAGCCAGAACUGGGGUGGAUUUUUAUAUUUGAUGAAAAAGAGCCUAACCUUAUCUGAUUUGGGAUAAAGAAAAAGGAGCAUUAACCUUGACUAUGCCUUUAGCUCCAGCCACCUUUUUAAGAGUAAAUUGCUGGGCAGGUUGGGGAGGGCUAGUCAUGGAAUGAAACAGUAAGCCGGACCCAGUGUGAGGAGGGGAGGUGAUAAAAGGAUUAUAGGGUGGAAGAGCAGAGGUUGAGGAAGAAUUCGGGCCUAGCUCGGCCUGGCGAGGAGGGAAGAGGUCAGAUGGGUCUGUAGAAAAGGAAGAUUAGAAAGAGUCAGCGACGCUUGGGGUUGGGACUGAGGGGACAGGUGGGAUGGAAAGAAGGAAGAUUUGGGAUGAGGUGCACUGGAACAGACUAGGGAGCGACUGAUGUGUAAAAGAAUGCCUGGACGUCAGUCACCUCCGACCAUUUGCCCAUUUUAUGACAAGAAUUAUCUAGAUCUUGUAGGAUGGAAAAAUUGAAAGUGCCAUUUUCUGGCUAUUUGGAACUACUGUCGAGUUUGUAUUGGGGUCAAGGGGCAUUGUGGAAGAAAAGAAGGCAUUUAGGUUUUAGGUCAGGUGUGAGUUGAAGAGGUUUUAGGUUUUUAAGAACACAGCCUAAGGGAGAAGAAAGGGGGAAUGGAGGGCGGAAGCUUGCCCACAGUGAAGGAGGCAAGCCUAGAGAAAAGAGAGAAUAGAGACAUGGAGAGAAGGGGUGGGGCGUUCUUGCCUUCCAGAAAAGUGGGAAAGGGGUUGGGGCACAGAAAUAAAGGGUUGGGGUGCAGAGAUAGG